rnacentral:lncRNA from 12 species
AAUGACUACUCCUAGGAUGCUGGAUUAAAUCUACAUGGUUUAACUACAUGUCUAAAAAAGAUCAGCCUGGUGCCUCUGGAAAAAGUGUCAUUGGAGCUUGAAAUGAAAAGUUGAUUUUUUUCUUCAUUUUCCUGUCCUGCCAUUUCCAUAUAAUCAGCUCAAGUGAACACAGCACAGGAAACACAGAUCAAGAACCUUUCCACCUCCAGAUGCUUUUUAAGAUCAGUUCAUAAAAUUCCUUGAACAAGAAAACAUUUCAUCAUGUGGAAAUAAAUAUUUUUCUGCUUUCGCAUAUUUGAUCGGAAAGGGAAGACACAUGCCUCUCCUAAUAUCCCCGCCUGGGAAAUAAAGUAGAAUGGGGAGGAGGAAUGCUGAGUGGUUCUGCAAUCCAGUGAAGAGAGAAAACAAAGACAAUGUGAUAAAGAAAAAGAGGCCUUGUGCUGACUGAAUGCCCUAACCUGAGGGCUUUGCAAUUGCUUAGUCCAUUAUCUACAUCCCCAGGAUCAAAUGUGAGAUAUUUAGAGAUAUUUAUCAAAGAAAGGAGGAAAUAAAGCCACAA